UUUGAUACUAGCAUACUAUUCGAUUUCAAAUAUCACUUUUUACAAUGUAAUAAUUACUAAAUUAUCAAUAAUAAUAAAUAUUUAGAUCUUAUAUAUACUAUAUACUACUAAGUAGUAGUAUUGUACGUAAUACUUAGGGCCUGUUUGGGAGCACUCCACUUCAGAAAAACCAGCUCCACUCCACCAGCUCCACACUUUCGUAGCUCCACUCCACCAACUCCAAAAAAACAUAGAGCAGCUGCACGUGUUUAGCUAAUGGCAGUGCUUCAGCUCCAAAAAUACGAGCACUUGUUGUGAAUGUUCUAUUUUACCCUUUGUAAACGGACCCGCAUGUCAUACUCUUCUAUUUUCUCCUCUCUUCUUCCUCUCUCUCCUCUCCUCUUCUCUUCUUCCCACGGACGCCACGACGGUGGGCACCUGGCAAGGAACUCGCCCCCGGCCGGCCACGCCACCGCCGCGGGGGAGCUCGCCCCGGCUGCGCCGCCGCCGCAGGGAGCUCGCCCCGGCUGGCCCGCGCCCCGGCCGGCCACGCCCCCGCCGCGGGGGAGCUCACCCCGGCCGGCCACGCCGCCGCCGCGGGGAGCUCGCAGCUGGUGUCAGUCCUACGUCACGUACUCACGUCCACGUAUCUUUCAGGCUCCAUAAAUUCCCAACUUCUUCCGGUUCCCGGCCGAUCCAUCCAACAUCCAUUCCCAUUUCCCAAACCACUUCUAGAGUUCCGAAUAACCAAAGCCGAGGAACAUGGCCAGUAGAGGCGAGCUGGCGCCGCCUGCGGCGGUAGAGUCCACCAACGAGCUCGGCAAGGUGGGCGCUGCACACGGAGGCGCGGUCCACAUCGGCGCCGGCAUGCUCGGCAGCCAGCACGGCGCAGCGCCCGUUCCCCGCGACUUCUCCCGUGGCAUCCACCUCGGCGCGAUGUACGGCCAUCCCGGCGAGCUCGCGCGCCAGGUUCGCCAGGGCGCCGAACGCGGCGAGGUGCUCGUCGGCGUGCUCCGCGGCGGACCCGGCAUGAUGAACCACAACCCCGGCACAUUCCCGCGAUAGUUCCCCCCGAGCGCAGGACGCGGCGAGGAGCUUUCCGUUGGCACGCUCAACGGCGACCUCGGCCUGGUGCACGACAACCCUGGCCGGCCACGCCACCGCCGCGGGGGAGCUCACCCCGGCCGGCCACGCCGCCGCCGCGGGGGAGCUCGCCCCGGCCGCGCCGCCGCCGUGGGGAGCUCGCCCCGGCUGGCCCGCGCCCCGACCGGCCACGCCGCCGCCGCGGGGGAGCUCGCCCCGGCCGCGCCGCCACCGCGGGGAGCUCGCCCCGGCUGGCCCGCGCCCCGGCCGCGCCGCCGCCGCAGGGGAGCUCGCCCCCGGCCGGACGCCCCUGCCGGCCUGCGCCCCAUGGGAGAGGAAAUGAAGAUGACGGAGGAGAUAGAAAAAAAAGAAUCGAACCGGUAACCUGUGUAACCAGUGGCAAUGGUGGGUAAAUAAUCCCAACUCCAUGAGGAAGUCUGAAAAGGAGGUUUUUGGAGCACCUCUUGAGGUACUCCAUGAAAAACGUGGAUCUACCCCCCUGCUCCACCUUUUUCCUGGAGCCGGAGUUACUGGAGCUAGACGCGUUUGGCUGCGAAAUUUUCGGAGUUGGUGGAGUGGAGCAAUUUUUUGUGGAGUGGAGUGCUCCCAAACACCCCAGGACUGUACGUAAAAGAGCUCUCUAGAGAGCACCCAAGUACUGUCUCCAUCUCAUCAAUCCUUUUCGUCACAAUAAUGAAUGUUGACACUUCGUAUCAAACAAAACAAGCAAGAUUAUUUCUCCUCUUUUGAAUUAACACUGCAUCAGAGUGUAACUUUCAAGCAGAGCAUACACGAAUCAUGGUGACGCUCGGGUUUGACCGCAUUUCCAUGGCGCAUGUGAACGUGCACAUCAUUUUCCCUUGUCCCACCACUACAAGGAUAGCAUCUGGCUACCGGACCAGUGACGAACUGCUCAGCAGCCCUACGUAGACAAGUCGCCAUCGAUCGGUCAGUCACGUCUUUUUCUUCUCCCAUACUUCGCUCGCAGGCCCGUACUAGUUUACAAGGCCCUGGUGCAAAUAAAAACUGGUGACCCUAUGUAUUUCCAAGAUGCAAAUAAGAAAAAUGCAGCUAUACUUUAUAAUGUAAUUACCAUAACUAUUAAUGCCUCGCGAGCUCGCACUAAGUUGUAGCACUAAGUUGUAAUUUUACUAGAUGCCGAUUGCAUCUUCAUCCAUAUCGCCUCAUGCCGUAGUUGUCGAUGGAAGGUGAGAGACAUCAUGACCACAUACUCUGUUUUCAUAAAUGCUUGAUUUGAUUGCCUGAGCUGUGAGCUACCGAGCUUGACGUAGAAAAGACUAGAUUGUAACAUGAGCUAAUUAUUAUUUAGGGUGGCCCC
rnacentral:lncRNA from 1 species